rnacentral:rRNA from 1 species
GAUGAACGCUGACAGAAUGCUUAACACAUGCAAGUCCACUUGAACUUCGGUUUGGGUGGCGGACGGGUGAGUAACGCGUAAAGAACUUGCCUCACAGCUAGGGACAACAUUUGGAAACGAAUGCUAAUACCUGAUAUUAUGAUUAUAUGGCAUCGUAUAAUUAUGAAAGCUAUAUGCGCUGUGAGAGAGCUUUGCGUCCCAUUAGCUAGUUGGAGAGGUAACAGCUCACCAAGGCGAUGAUGGGUAGCCGGCCUGAGAGGGUGAUCGGCCACAAGGGGACUGAGACACGGCCCUUACUCAUACGGGAGGCAGAAGUGGGGAAUAUUGGACAAUGGACCGAGAGUCUGAUCCAGCAAUUCUGUGUGCACGAUGAAGUUUUUCGGAAUGUAAAGUGCUUUAAGUUGGGAAGAAAAAAAUGACGGUACCAACAGAAGAAGUGACGGCUAAAUACGUG